UACGGGGGGGGCAAGCGUUGUUCGGAAUUACUGGGCGUAAAGGGCUCGUAGGUGGCCAACUAAGUCAGACGUGAAAUCCCCAGGCUCAACUUGGGAACUGCGUCUGAUACUGGAUGGCUUGAAUUCGGGAGAGGGAUGCAGAAUUCCAGGUGUAGCGGUGAAAUGCGUAGAUAUCUGGAGGAAUACCGGCGGCGAAGGCGGCAUCCUGGACCGAUAUUGACACUGAUGAGCGAAAGCUAGGGGAGCAAACGGG
rnacentral:rRNA from 1 species